rnacentral:rRNA from 1 species
ACUCAAAUGAAUUGACGGGGGCCCGCACAAGCAGUGGAGUAUGUGGUUUAAUUCGAAGCAACGCGAAGAACCUUACCAGGACUUGACAUCCCUUGAAUAGCCGAGAGAUCGGUGAAGCCCUUCGGGGCAAGGUGACAGGUGGUGCAUGGUUGUCGUCAGCUCGUGUCGUGAGAUGUUGGGUUAAGUCCCGCAACGAGCGCAACCCCUGUUGUUAGUUGCCAUCAUUAAGUUGGGCACUCUAACGAGACUGCCGGUGACAAAUCGGAGGAAGGUGGGGACGACGUCAAAUCAUCAUGCCCCUUACGUCCUGGGCUACACACGUACUACAAUGGCCACUACAGAGGGCAGCGAAAGAGCAAUCUGGAGCGAAUCCCCAAAAGUGGCCCCAGUUCAGAUUGUGGGCUGAAACCCGCCCACAUGAAGUCGGAAUUGCUAGUAAUGGCAGGUCAGCAUACUGCCGUGAAUACGUUCCCGGGCCUUGCACACACCGCCCGU